CCCUUAGAUGUUCUGGGCCGCACGCGCGCUACACUGACACACUCAACAAGCUUAUAACCUUGUCCGAGAGGUCUGGGAAAUCUUUGAAUAUGUGCCGUGAUGGGGAUAGAUCGUUGCAAUUCUCGAUCUUCAACGAGGAAUUCCUAGUAAACGCAGUUCAUCAGACUGCAUUGAUUACGUCCCUGCCCUUUGUACACACCGCCCGUCGCACCUACCGAUUGAAUGGUCCGGUGAGAAUUUUGGAUUGAUGUUUCGUCGGGUUAACGCCAGACUUUACGUUGAGAAGUUAUUCAAACCUUACCAUUUAGAGGAAGGUGAAGUCGUAACA
rnacentral:rRNA from 1 species